CCAAAGUAUCCAAUGAUUUAAUUGCUGCUAAAUCUCGCAGCCAUUGCUCUAUCCUAAUUCUCCUUGAUCUUUCUGCUGCCUUUGACACGGUUGAUCAUCAACAGCUUCUUCGCAUUCUCCGUAAUUUUGGUCUACGGGAUACUGCUCUCUCCUGGUGCUCCUCCUACCUCUCCCAGCGCCCUGUCAGUGUUUCUUUCUCUGACUCUGCCUCUUCUCCCCAACCCCUCUCUGUCGG